AUUGAACGCUGGCGGCAGGCCUAACACAUGCAAGUCGAGCGGAUGAAGGGAGCUUGCUCCUGGAUUCAGCGGCGGACGGGUGAGUAAUGCCUAGGAAUCUGCCUGGCAGUGGGGGAUAACGUCCGGAAACGGGCGCUAAUACCGUAUACGUCCUGAGUGAGAAAGUGGGGGAUCUUCGGACCUCACGCUAUCAGAUGAGCCUGGGUCGGAUUAGCUAGUUGGUGGGGUAAAGGCCUACCAAGGCGACGAUCCGUAACUGGUCUGAGAGGAUGAUCAGUCACACUGGAACUGAGACACGGUCCAGACUCCUACGGGAGGCAGCAGUAGGGAAUAUUGGGCAAUGGGCGAAAGCCUGAUGCAGCCAUGCCGCGUGUGUGAAGAAGGUCUUCGGAUUGUAAAGCACUUUAAGUUGGGAGGAAGGGCAGUAAGUUAAUACCUGGCUGUUUUGACGGUACCAACAGAAUAAGCACCGGCUAACUUCGUG
rnacentral:rRNA from 1 species